rnacentral:rRNA from 1 species
GGUUGAUCCUGCCAGUAGUCAUAUGCUUGUCUCAAAGAUUAAGCCAUGCAUGUCUAAGUAUAAACUGCUUAUACUGUGAAACUGCGAAUGGCUCAUUAAAUCAGUUAUAGUUUAUUUGAUGGUACCUUGCUACUCGGUUAUACCCGUAGUAAUUCUAGAGCUAAUACGUGCGUAAAUCCCGACUCCUGGAAGGGACGUAUUUAUUAGAUAAAAGGCCGACCGGGCUUUGCCCGACUCGCGGUGAAUCAUGAUAACUUCACGAAUCGCACGGCCUCCGUGCCGGCGAUGUUUC